CCAAGAGUCAUUCGUCGAUUAAAAGCAAAGAGUGGUACCUGAUAUUGAUCAAAGAAAACUAGCAGAAAUGAAGUGUCAGCCAGAAGUAGAAGGGUAGCAACAUCAGCUAGUUAAACCGACUCAAAAAUGAGGUGACAUAUCCAAGAAACACGAUUUCAACCAAGAAAAUGGACCAGCAAACCUUGGCUUAGAAUUGAUCUUAAUCUAUUUCCACUAUCAAAAAAUUAGAAAUUGCUUCAGCACUCAAAAAUUUAAAGAAAUCCUCCAAAGACUCAAUGCAACAGGUUUUGCAAAAGUUUUUAGUCAUUUUGAUUUUUCUGGUUCCUAUUUCCUCCUCCN
rnacentral:lncRNA from 1 species